rnacentral:rRNA from 1 species
UACGUAGGGGGCAAGCGUUGUCCGGAUUUAUUGGGCGUAAAGAGCGUGUAGGCGGCUAGGCAGGUCUGUUGUGAAAACUGGAGGCUCAACCUUGAGACGUCGACAGAAACCGCUUGGCUAGAGUCCGGAAGAGGAGAGUGGAAUUCCUGGUGUAGCGGUGAAAUGCGCAGAUAUCAGGAAGAACACCAAUGGCGAAGGCAGCUCUCUGGGACGGUACUGACGCUGAGACGCGAAAGCGUGGGGAGCAAACAGG